AGUACCCCGAGGAAAAGAAAUCAACCGAGAUUCCCCCAGUAGCGGCGAGCGAACGGGGAGCAGCCCAGAGUCUGAAUCAGCUUGUGUGUUAGUGGAAGCGUCUGGAAAGUCGCACGGUACAGGGUGAUAGUCCCGUACACGAAAGCACACAGGCUGUGAACUCGAAGAGUAGGGCGGGACACGUGGUAUCCUGUCUGAAUAUGGGGGGACCAUCCUCCAAGGCUAAAUACUCCUGACUGACCGAUAGUGAACCAGUACCGUGAGGGAAAGGCGA
rnacentral:rRNA from 1 species